AGUGAACGCUGGCGGUAGGCCUAACACAUGCAAGUCGAACGGCAGCACAGUAAGAGCUUGCUCUUACGGGUGGCGAGUGGCGGACGGGUGAGGAAUACAUCGGAAUCUACUUUUUCGUGGGGGAUAACGUAGGGAAACUUACGCUAAUACCGCAUACGACCUACGGGUGAAAGCAGGGGAUCUUCGGACCUUGCGCGAUUGAAUGAGCCGAUGUCGGAUUAGCUAGUUGGCGGGGUAAAGGCCCACCAAGGCGACGAUCCGUAGCUGGUCCGAGAGGAUGAUCAGCCACACUGGAACUGAGACACGGUCCAGACUCCUACGGGAGGCAGCAGUGGGGAAUAUUGGACAAUGGGCGCAAGCCUGAUCCAGCCAUACCGCGUGGGUGAAGAAGGUCUUCGGGUUGUAAAGCCCUUUUGUUGGGAAAGAAAAGCAGCAGGUUAAUACCCCGCUGUUCUGACGGUACCCAAAGAAUAAGCACCGGCUAACUUCGUG
rnacentral:rRNA from 1 species